GGUCGCUUAGCUCAGUUGGUUAGAGUAUCACAUUGACAUUGUGGGGGUCAGUGGUUCGAAUCCACUAGCGACCACGA
rnacentral:tRNA from 1 species